UUAUACAAACCAUCACAGAGAUCAUCAUCUCUAUAGUUCAUUACUGGAGGAGCUUCUCUUUGCAGAGCACCCAAGACCGUGAAGCUGCGAGGAGGGUUCCCUCUUGUAGCUGGUUGUAGGCGCUGCUUCCUGCCCCCGCCCUUUGCCAUUAAUGAUCCAUCUUCUCUUUCUUGUAAGAGAGUGAGAGGAGGGGAAGGCAGUCUGAGUUGU